GCCCUCGUGGUGGAAUUGGUAGACACAAAGGACUUAAAAUCCUUGCCGCUUGCGGAGUGCCGGUUCGAGUCCGGCCGAGGGCA
rnacentral:tRNA from 1 species